ACCUGCCCAACAAAAAAUAAAUAAAUAGCAGCAGCUAAUAACUCAUUUUUGAAUACAAAGAAGUGGAAUAUAAUGUUCCAACCGUGAGUUCUGCUUGAUCAACUUGUGAAUUUCAACUCCAUAUCCAUAAAGACAACACUGAUCCUAAAUUUUUUACUCCACUGGUGUGUGCCCAUGAAGGUCAUGCCUACAGCUUAACUCGGUUUGUUGUUGCGUCUUUGGACAUUAAAUCUAAAUCUUUUACUCCACUAGUGUGUGCCCAUGAAGGUCAUGCCUACAGCUUAACUCGGUUUGUUGUUGCGCCUUUGGGCAUUAAAUGUUCUAAAAAUCGCUAGGCAUAAACUAGGUGGUGGGGCAGUGCCUAGCAACUAGGGGAUUAUACGGACAUUAAACGGCUAGGUGUUAGGCAAUUUUUAUUUAAUAAAUUAAUAUUUUUAAAUAAAUAUAAAACAAAAUAUUU
rnacentral:lncRNA from 1 species